CACCAGCGCCACGAGUGGCUAUCACGAUUAUUGGGCCUAAAGCGUCCGUAGUCGGUUGGGUGCAUCUUCUGUGAAAUCGCUGCGCUUAACGUAGCGGCAUGCGGAAGACACGACCCAGCUUGAGACCGGGAGGCGUGAAGGGUAUUCCUGGGGGACCGGUAAAAUGGUAUAAUCCCAAGAGGACCACCUGUGGCGAAGGCGCUUCACGAGAACGGAUCUGACGAUGAGGGACGAAAGCCAGGGGAGCAAACCGG
rnacentral:rRNA from 1 species